rnacentral:snoRNA from 1 species
GAAGGUGAUUCCCUCUCAGGAAAGUGACAACUUGGAGUAAAAUCUGGCAAGCCCAGAAUCUCCAGGAGAGAGGGGGUGCUUUUCCUUUUUCCUUCCUUUGGCUGCCUAUAUGC